rnacentral:rRNA from 2 species
UACGAAGGGUGCGAGCGUUAAUCGGAAUUACUGGGCGUAAAGCGCGCGUAGGCGGUUUGUUAAGUUGGAGGUGAAAUCCCCGGGCUCAACCUGGGAACUGCCUCCAAAACUGGCUGACUAGAGUACGGUAGAGGGUGGUGGAAUUUCCUGUGUAGCGGUGAAAUGCGUAGAUAUAGGAAGGAACACCAGUGGCGAAGGCGACCACCUGGACUGAUACUGACGCUGAGGUGCGAAAGCGUGGGGAGCAAACAGG